rnacentral:siRNA from 1 species
GGACACCUUGAUAUAUCUCCUCCA